ensembl:lncRNA
GCUGUUUUACAAAAGCCACCCGGUGGUGGUGAGCCCGGGUGCGAGGGCCCGUUCAUCGCUGCUUGCAGCUUUAAUUCUUCUUCUUCUUCUUCUUCUUCUUCUUCUUCUUCUUCUUCUUCUUCUUCUUCUUCUUCUUCUUCUUCUUCUUCUUCUUCUCCAAAAUGAAUCGCAUUUUUGAGGGCCUAAACAUGCUCGAAAAGUCCUGAAACUUUGCACACGCGUCAGACCUGGUGAAAAUUUACGUCUGAUAUAGGUUUCAGAAGAGGGUGUGGCAAAAUGGCUCGACAGCGCCACCUAUCGUAAAAAAAUCAACAGCCCUCCCGCUGUGUUUCACGUACAUGCACGAAAAUUGGCACACGUAUGUAAAGCAUCAGUACCUACAAAAAAGACUCUUGGAGCAAUAUCCGAAACCCAACAGGAAGUCGGUUAUUUUUAAUUUUAUGAGCAAAUUUUGCAUCAUUUUUGUCAUUUGCAUGCCUUGUAUUUUAACGAACUCCUCCUAGAGAUUUAUUCAGAUCAACACCAAAUUUGGUAUGCCUAAUCUAAAGGCCUUUGCGAUGUUAAAUUGCGAAGAUCUUGAGUUUUCGUUGAAGGGCGUGUCUGUGGCGGCCUGACGAAUUUCGAUGAUUCGCCAUGAAAAAUGAAGUUGCUAUAACUCAGACAUACAAUGUCCAAUCUGCCACAGACUUCACAUGUUUGAUAAGACUCCUGACCUGAACAGAUUGAUAUGCUCAUAUUCAGUUAUAGUCAUAGCGCCACCUACUGGCAACAGGAAGUGACUUAUUUUACGCUGUAACAAACUACCCCGAGAAAUUUUAUGACAAAAUUCUUUUUUUUUCAGUCACUCUAUUCUAAAGGCCUGUGCGAUGUUAAAUUGUGAAGAUCUUGAGUUUUCGUUAAAGGGCGUGUCCAUGGCGCCGUCACAAAGUUCGAUGUCUCGCCAUGGGAAUAAAAGUUAUUGUAACUCAGGCAUAAAAUGUCCGAUCUUGCCCAAACUUCACAUGUUCGAUAAGUGUCCUGGCCUGAACACAUCUGAAGGCCAAUAUUCCAUUGGGUGUGGCAAAAUGCCUCGAUAGCGCCACCUAUACAUUUUCAACGGAGUGCGCCUCGAGCUACGUUUCACGCACAUGUACAAAAAUCGGUACACACAUGUAACACACCAAUACCUACAAAAAAGUCUCUUGGUACGAAAUUCGAAUCCCAACAGGAAGUCAGUUAUUUUGAAUUUUCUCUGCAAAAUUUGUGUCGUUUUUGACAUUUUCAGGGGUUGUACUUUAACGAACUCCUCCUAGAGAUUUAUU